GGGUCGGUAGCUCAGCCGGUAGAGCAGCGGACUUUUAAUCCGUUGGUCGGGAGUUCGAACCUCCCCCGACCUACCA
rnacentral:tRNA from 1 species